GACGAACGCUGGCGGCGUGCUUAACACAUGCAAGUCGAACGGAAAGGCCCUGCUUGCAGGGUACUCGAGUGGCGAACGGGUGAGUAACACGUGGGUGAUCUGCCCUGCACUUCGGGAUAAGCCUGGGAAACUGGGUCUAAUACCGGAUAGGAGCCAUUUUUAGUGUGAUGGUUGGAAAGUUUUUUCGGUGUAGGAUGAGCUCGCGGCCUAUCAGCUUGUUGGUGGGGUAAUGGCCUACCAAGGCGGCGACGGGUAGCCGGCCUGAGAGGGUGGACGGCCACAUUGGGACUGAGAUACGGCCCAGACUCCUACGGGAGGCAGCAGUGGGGAAUAUUGAACAAUGGGAGCAGGCCUGAUGCAGCGACGCCGCGUGGGGGAUGACGGCCUUCGGGUUGUAAACUCCUUGCGCUAGGGACGAAGCUUUUUGUGACGGUACCUAGAGAAGAAGCACCGGCUAACUACGUG
rnacentral:rRNA from 1 species